UACGAAGGGGGCUAGCGUUGUUCGGAUUUACUGGGCGUAAAGCGCACGUAGUCGGCUUUGCAAGUCGGUUGUGAAAUCCCCGGGCUCAACCUGGGAACUGCAUCCGAGACUGCAUUGCUAGAGUAUGGGAGAGGAAAGCGGAAUUUCUGGUGUAGCAGUGAAAUGCGUAGAUAUCAGAAGGAACAUCAGUGGCGAAGGCGGCUUUCUGGACCAAUACUGACGAUCAGGUGCGAAAGCGUGGGGAGCAAACAGG
rnacentral:rRNA from 1 species